rnacentral:rRNA from 1 species
UACGUAGGGUGCGAGCGUUGUCCGGAAUUAUUGGGCGUAAAGAGCUUGUAGGCGGUUUGUCGCGUCUGCUGUGAAAUUUCGGGGCUCAACCCCGAACUUGCAGUGGGUACGGGCAGACUAGAGUGUGGUAGGGGAGACUGGAAUUCCUGGUGUAGCGGUGGAAUGCGCAGAUAUCAGGAGGAACACCGAUGGCGAAGGCAGAUCUCUGGGCCGUAACUGACGCUGAGGAGCGAAAGCGUGGGGAGCGAACAGG